rnacentral:rRNA from 1 species
CACGUAGGGUGCGAGCGUUGUCCGAAAUUAUUGGGCGUAAAGAGCUCGUAGGCGGUGUGUCGCGUCGGCCGUGAAAACUUGCAGCUUAACUGUGGGCGUGCGGUCGAUACGGGCAUCACUGGAGUUCGGCAGGGGAGACUGGAAUUCCUGGUGUAGCGGUGAAAUGCGCAGAUAUCAGGAGGAACACCGGUGGCGAAGGCGGGGUCUCUGGGCCCGAUACUGACGCUGAGGAGCGAAAGCGUGGGGAGCGAACAGG